UCGGCGCGCGAGCACGUGCCGCGCUCUCGUGUUUCCCCGGCGUCGCUGUCAGGCGGGAGCCACCCGCGCCGCUGCCUCGCCCUGCAGCACCGGGGCUUUCCCCGGUGCUCCGAGGCCGGCUGGAGACAGCGGGACGCGCCCGCCGCCGCCGCGGCCGAGCCGGGUGCCCGCGGCUAGGUGGGUCACGGCCCGGGCACUGGGGCCUUGGCGGGGACAGAAAUGCUGUUGCAUACCCCGAUGCCACCACUUAGCUUUUAGGAAGAUACAUGUCCCCCUAAAUGUGAAGAAUCUGAAGGCCACGCUGAUAACAGGCUUCCCCUUUUAAAAGUUUGGAAAACGCUGAAUUAACAAAUUCAACCAACCAGUUUGCAGAGGGGGUCCAGUCUCCAUUCCAGAUGCCUGCUGAAUCUAGAAGAUUAUCUGCGCCAGAGAGACUGCAAGACUUGCAGGAGCUCAGCGUAUUCUGGGAGCUGUUGCUUCAGUAGAGGCUUUCUGAGAUAACAUUUAGUGCUGCACAUGCCUCUGAGAUCCUGGAAUGGAAGCACACCUUAAAGGUUCUGAUCUGUACCCUAGCAACGUGGCAUGAACCUGCUCUACCAUCUGCAAUCACCUCCCUGCCACUACAGAAGGUGUCGAUGGCUUUACUCCUCUGCCUGCUGAAUGCAUGAGCAUAUAGUCAGAGCACAAGAGUGAAAGGAUGCAUUGGUCAGGACACUGGUCUCUCCGCAGAGCAGAGAUGCACAUCAGGAGAUCCAGAGAGACUACUUAGACUAAAGUAACGUCAGACCUUUCACUCUGUUGUAUUGCUUGCUACUUUUAUUGCAAACUUUAAAUGUAAACCAUAUAAUCACUUUCCAUCAGAGUAGUUUAUUUUAUAAACUAGUCCUGGCUUCACAUACAAUGACCUUCAAGUAACUACGCAAAGCCUGCUUUAUUCUUUAUGUGUUUCCAACUGGUUGUGAUUUAGAACCUAUUACUGGUUUAUUCUGAAAUCCCUCCAUAUAGCUAAUGAUAAAUACAUUUUCUCAGUUGCUCUUGUUCAGGGUGCCCUUCUGUCCUUUUCGACCAGGGCUGGUGGGAUGUCCUGCAGUGAAGGUUCAGUUAUUGCACUUACUCUUCCUUUAAGGCAUGGCUAGCAGAUAGGCCAAGGCAGACUUGCUAAGGAUAUUACAUUUUCAGAUUUGAAGAGCAUAAUAAUGAAUUUGCAUAUUAACUAUCAAAAAGAUUACUAGUUGAUAAUUAGCAAAUCACAGAUCUUUACUGCUGAUUCCAGAGCUCAUUAAGAAAAUACUUGGUCUCUCUCCCCCUGUCAAUCCAAAGUAUUCUGUGGGAAAGAGAAGUUCCCAUUGAAAUUCAAGCCAAGUAAAACAGAAGGGGAAAAUGUUGUUUUCUGUGAACUGAAAAACUGGGUUAAAAGAUGAUAUAGAUGGAGGGGGCUCUAAAGGGUCAAUCUUUUGAAAUCCUUCUUACUAUUUAGAAAAAAGUCUAAAAAUAGUAGUGAACUUGGGACUUCAAAUGAUGAACAUUUUACUUCUGCAGUUCUGCAGUUUGGGGAAAUUUUACACUGAUUACAAGAAAGAACCUUUCCAUAAUAAAUAUGUUUUGCUUUUCAAAAGACCUAAAACCACCUAAGAAAGAAACUUGUGCACUUAUUCAUUUCUGUGCAAUAUAGACAGAUUUGAGGAUGUUUUAAUAUCCGCAAAGGCGUUCCUGGCUACUAUUAUUGAAUACUGAUGACAGAGCUUGAGAACACUUACGGAGUAUCUCCCAGUGUAGACGGAAUGCACACACUAAGGGAUCUGAAACAAGCUACCAUAUUUAACAGAUCUGUAGAAGAUUUACUAAAAAUCUACAACAGAAACAGUUCAGCGUACUGAAUGGUGUACACUCAAAACAUUUUUGCUGUGAUCUACAGUCUUUAAUUACAUUGCCUAAUUGCAUAGCAGGCCUCAGGGAUAGAAAAAUGAAAAAUAUAACAAUAACAAAUUGUCUGAUAAUGUUACUUAUGGACAUGCUGCAUAAGCACUAAGAAAUACUUCUAUGAUUAAAAUAAUCCAUGUAAAAUAAUCUAAAAGCAAAUUUAUGAUAUACUAAAUGUAAACAAGCAAAUAUAGGUGGCCAAGGAAUUCAGAAUUCGCUGCUAUCCAUUUAGAGUUGUAAGGACAGGGUCAGCAUCUGGGGCUUGUUCUUAAUUUUCAUCAAUGUAUGAUUUAUAUCAGAAGAAGACUCCUGUACUAAUUAAUCAUUUAUCUUUGUUUAUACUGACAGUUAUGGCUGACCUUAAAAUUUUCCUAAAAUCUAUACUCAGUGAUCAUUAAUGUUCUAAACCUUCCUCCCUGGUGCACCUGGAAAAUCAGCUCUACUUCUGGUAUCAUUUCAGUGAUGUUCUUUUUGCCAGGCAUUUGCACGGGAAGUUUUUAAGCAUUAACAUCUAUGUUCAGUCCUCUGACUUACAGCACUUCUCUUUUCUACUCCUUCUGUUGACUGCUGAAACCCAGAAAGACACAACCCAGAAAGAUAGAUCAGUCACUCACAGACGAGUUACUGAAAGGGACUCUGCAUGGCAUAAGGGAUAAUAUUCUGUACCCCUUGAGUGCUUGUGGGGCUGCAACUGAGUUAGUGUUAACAUACCAGCUUAGGACUGAUAAAAUGUGGCAAUGGCAGCAAGUAACUCAGCAGAGGCUGACAUUACCUGACAGACCGAGUAAAUACCUGGGAGGCUAGUAUGUGCUGAGUUUGUGUUGCCAUGACUACGUGCACUGCCAUUUUCUGAAACUGCUGUCAUUAUUUCAGUCCUUUGUCACCGUCUGCAUGGAAUGAACUGAAAAUAAUAACAAAAAGUAAAUUUAGUUGCACAUGCUGCUUAUUCUCUCAUGCAUGAGAAGUUAGGAAAGUACAAAUUACCUUAAAAAAUCACCACACAAGGAAGAGUAAUGCCAGAAUUAGUUUCCACUCUUGCUUGAAUUGUAUCAUUGAUUUAUUCAAGAUUCACAUACAUUCUGUCUUGAGUAAAGCCUGCUUUUUCACUUGCAGCUAUUCAAACAUGAUAAGAUUACAUAGAAUAGGAGUAAAAUUUAACCUACAUAAAAAUAAACAUAAAUUGACAAGAUGCUAGGUAAACUUUACUAGUACUUUUGACAGACCAAGCAAGAUUAUCAGGAAGCUUUCUUAAGACAUUAUUUAAUAUAGUAUUUUAUAGAAAGAAUUUACAGUAGCUCAUGGAGCAGGAUAAUGACAUAAUGACAUAAAGUGUUGCAGGUGAGAUGAGAAAAUAUAUAAAAAUACACAAUUGAUGGUAAAAUAUGGGAGAGGAACUGCCUUUUAGGUUGCUUCUAAAGUGUCAGGCUUAAAAUGUUCUUACUGAUGUCUGGAAAGAAACUGUGGAAAGGGAAUAUAAAAUUUUAUUAUUUUUAUAGGACAACUGUCAUCAUCUGCCUGCAUAUAUUGUGCUGUAUUGGUUAAGCUGUCCCAAAAGCAUAAGGCCUGGCUAGGAGAGCAACAACCUAUUACCAGAGCACAAGCAUGAGGGGCCCAGUGUGCCAGUGUUUUGCCUUUCUGCAAGCACUGUGAAAAUGGGGCACUCCUCCUACAACACUGCUCUGCAACAUAAGUAUAGAUUAUUACCCAGUUUUAUCUCUUUUAUUAAUGGUCUUUUUCUAACAACAAUCUGAGAAAUUCAAUUAUAAUCAUAAAGGAGUAGACAGAUGAACUUCUCAAAGUAAAAAACCUCAAAGCUCCUUCUAGAGCUCUUCUAUAAUGUGUUUGAUUUGCUAUUUCUGUGAUUGUCCAUCUCUUAAUUAAUAUAUCAAGUCUCAAUAAUAUUAAGGACUAUUUCAUUCCAUAAAUUGUUGUGAAACUGUGUUUUCUGGGGACAAUACCGAUCAGGAUACAUAUAAGAGCUGAGAAUAAAACAAAGAACCAACCAUAGAAUCAACUUUCUGAGCCAUUUUAACAAAUUCAGAGAUACCAUGUCACCAGAGAUGUCCAAGCUUUGAGGUCACACUUGAGGAGAUGAUAUGUUUAUGUAACUCUUCUUAACAUGGUUUAUUGGAAUUGGAAUUAUGGAAAAUCCAAGAAAAGUUUUCUGAAAUUCUCUUCUGAUUCUUGCUGGGACUUGGAUCUUCAAACUAACCUUCCCAUUUCCUAGGGCUACUGUCUUUCAGUAGAAACCAACUCAGAUCAGCCAAAACUAACUAGAAUCCAGCCAAGUGUUUCCACAAGUCUGCUGGUAUAUGAAGUAGGCAAUGAAAUAUGCAUAUUCUUUUUUCCCAAAAUAGGAAAAGGUGAAUCAUGUUGUUAAUACAAAGCAGAUUCUUCUUUUAGCAAAAUUUGGCUCAGAAGUGCAAUCCAAUUUAUUUAUCUGGCUCUUGAACCCUUUAAAACCUUCAUGUGAUAUCUGCUUAGCCUUAAUCAAAGUUUACCACAGCUGUGCUGUUCACCUGCAACAAGCAUUUUCUAUCCAACUGACCAUGUUUAAAGACUCUGUAUUACAGAAAAAUAGUUAUGUAAAUGAAACAGCUUACCAAAACUCAGAUUUAGCUAGCUAACUUCCAUGCAAAUAAAUAUGUGUAUCUAAUGUU